rnacentral:lncRNA from 1 species
CAUGGUUCUGGGCAUUGGUGGUGGUAGGUGAUACCAAAACCAGCUCCUGGACCAUGUUAGCCACAGAAACUACACAGCCUUCCAUCACCAGAGCACAGUUAGUGUAACUAUGCCCUGAGCACACACAAGGCCAUAUCUCACCAGGCCCAACUCAAAGCUUACGCAGAGCAGCAAGGAUAAAAAGUUUAAACAAGUUUCAUACUUCAUUUUUUCCCUGCUGAUACCAGCCAAGAUCAGGUCAUUGCCAUAACAAUAGUUUUCUCAGGGUCUACAGAUGCUUUUGCAGACUCUCAGCCUCUGCUCCAGACAGCACGAGCCCCUGUGGUCACAGCCACACGAGUAGAGGCUUGAGAUGAUGCUGCCUGGGAGCUGAGUACACAUGAGGACAAGGAGAGAUCACCUGUAAAAGGUGAGGGAAACUGGAGGGGAGAAAGAACGCUAAAUGAAGGGGAUCCCAGUUCACCAAAUCCAGUCCUCAAAGCAUGCUCUUUACCUUUCUCAGGAACGGAAGGUUGUAACUGGCCUCAGCAUUAUGGCUGGUCACAAACCGGAUCUUCGAGAAAAUCAAAAGAAGCUGAAAACUCCAGUUCCCCGAGCAGUUCUUCUGAGGGAGGAGAAGAAUGAAGCAGAACGGAUACAGGCUCCCGAAAGAUUUAUUACUACGCAACCACUCCAUCAGCUGAUCAUUUCAUCACACCGACAGAACUGA